GAUGAAGAACGUAGCGAAAUGCGAUAAGUAAUGUGAAUUGCAGAAUUCAGUGAAUCAUCGAAUCUUUGAACGCACAUUGCGCCCCCUGGUAUUCCGAGGGGCAUGCCUGUUCGAGCGUCAUAUUAACCACUCCCGCUUGCGGGGUCUUGGGCUUCGCCUCCGGGCGGGCCUUAAAAUCAGUGGCGGUGCCGUCGGGCUCUACGCGUAGUAAAUUUUCUCGCGAUAGGGUCCCGGUGGAUGCUUGCCAACAACCCCCAACUUCUUAAGGUUGACCUCGGAUCAGGUAGGGAUACCCGCUGAACUUAAGCAUAUCAAUAAGCGGAGGA
rnacentral:misc_RNA from 1 species